GAUGAACGCUGGCGGCGUGCCUAAUACAUGCAAGUCGAGCGAACAGACGAGGAGCUUGCUCCUCUGAUGUUAGCGGCGGACGGGUGAGUAACACGUGGAUAACCUACCUAUAAGACUGGGAUAACUUCGGGAAACCGGAGCUAAUACCGGAUAACAUGUUGAACCGCAUGGUUCAGCAGUGAAAGACGGUCUUGCUGUCACUUAUAGAUGGAUCCGCGCCGCAUUAGCUAGUUGGUAAGGUAACGGCUUACCAAGGCAACGAUGCGUAGCCGACCUGAGAGGGUGAUCGGCCACACUGGAACUGAGACACGGUCCAGACUCCUACGGGAGGCAGCAGUAGGGAAUCUUCCGCAAUGGGCGAAAGCCUGACGGAGCAACGCCGCGUGAGUGAAGAAGGUCUUCGGAUCGUAAAACUCUGUUAUUAGGGAAGAACAAAUGUGUAAGUAACUAUGCACGUCUUGACGGUACCUAAUCAGAAAGCCACGGCUAACUACGUG
rnacentral:rRNA from 1 species